rnacentral:rRNA from 1 species
AUUGAACGCUGGCGGCAGGCCUAACACAUGCAAGUCGAGCGGAUGAAGGGAGCUUGCUCCUGGAUUCAGCGGCGGACGGGUGAGUAAUGCCUAGGAAUCUGCCUGGUAGUGGGGGAUAACGUCCGGAAACGGGCGCUAAUACCGCAUACGUCCUGAGGGAGAAAGUGGGGGAUCUUCGGACCUCACGCUAUCAGAUGAUCCUAGGUCGGAUUAGCUAGUUGGUGGGGUAAAGGCCUACCAAGGCGACGAUCCGUAACUGGUCUGAGAGGAUGAUCAGUCACCCUGGAACUGAGACACGGUCCAGACUCCUACGGGAGGCAGCAGUGGGGAAUAUUGGACAAUGGGCGAAAGCCUGAUCCAGCCAUGCCGCGUGUGUGAAGAAGGUCUUCGGAUUGUAAAGCACUUUAAGUUGGGAGGAAGGGCAGUAAGUUAAUACCUUGCUGUUUUGACGUUACCAACAGAAUAAGCACCGGCUAACUUCGUG